ensembl:lncRNA
CGUUAGGGAACCAUGCAGUAUACGUUAGGUAACCAUGCAGUAGGUAACCAUGCAGUAUACGUUAGGUAACCAUGCACUAUACGUUAGGUAACCAUGCAGUAUACGUUAGGUAACCAUGCACUAUACGUUAGGUAACCAUGCAGUAUACGUUAGGUAACCAUGCAGUUGGUAACCACGUAGUCUACAGUAUGUAAACAUGCAGUAUUCAGUAGGUAACCAUGCAGUAGGUAACCACAUAGUGUACAGUAUGGUAACAUGCAGUAUUCAGUAGGUAACCAUGCAGUAUACGUUAGGUAACCAUGCAGUAUUCAGUAGGUAACCAUGCAGUAUUCAGUAGGUAACCAUGCAGUAUUCAGUAGGUAACCAUGCAGUAGGUAACCACAUAGUGUACAGUAUGGUAACAUGCAGUAUUCAGUAGGUAACCAUGCAGUAUACGUUAGGUAACCAUGCAGUAUUCAGUAGGUAACCAUGCAGUAUUCAGUAGGUAACCAUGCAGUAUUCAGUAGGUAACCAUGCAGUAUUCAGUAGGUAACCAUGCAGUAUUCAGUAGGUAACCAUGCAGUAUUCAGUAGGUAACCAUGCAGUAUACGUUAGGUAACCAUGCAGUAUACAGUAGGUAUGUAUGAAGCUGUGGAUUUGCUAG